GUGCUCCCCAUGCCCUUCCUCAGGGGAUGAGAGAGGAGGGUCCAGAGACUGUGCUUCUGGCAUGACCUUAGGACCGAGGCAUGAGGAGACGGGAAGGCACAGCCUCAGCACACAGCUGCCCAGGGAUCGCCAAGGUCCUGACCCCACACCCGUCUCUGGACCAGAGUCCGGACCCCUGACCCGAUCCCACACCCCGCACCCCACUCUGGGCGAUCACCCAGGCUCACCCACUGCGCUGAGCCAUGCUGAGCCCCAGCAAUUGUGAACUUCUGAUCCUGGGGCGAUCUCUUCUGGCUCCCAAGGUAUGAAAAGCAAGCCAAUUAGCUACGGGAUGGAAAACAGGUUUUUCUGCCAGAGAGAGUUAUUUCCAGUAGAUUCAUAUGUGGCUUGCUCGUGCUUCUGCUCCUCUCUCUAAUCAGCUGGGUUCUGCUGCAGAGGCACUGGCCAAGUAUUAUUUGAAUGGAUGUGACAUUAACAUUUCCCCAUGUCAAUAAAAAUGCUCCAAAAGCAGUAUUUUUCGUAGGUGCAAAAUAUUACAUUGUCUGAUUAUAUCAUAAUUGACCUAACCAUUUCC
rnacentral:lncRNA from 1 species